rnacentral:lncRNA from 1 species
UUCAGACGGUGGAGAGUCAGAGGGUGGCGACUCCCAGGUGAAGGAAUGCCCUUCUCCCAAGAGCUGCAAGAGCCCCUCGACACAUGCACCUUGUUCUCCAGCACCCCAGACUGUGUCUCGACCAUCCAAAGAGGAAGAUGGUGAAGCACAGCCUUGUGGUCCUUCUCAGCCUCAGGCACUGUCCGUCCAGCAGUCCAGCACCAAGACUUCGAGCUCCAAACCAGCCACUCUAACACCAGUCUGCACCAGCCAACCCCUCAAUAACCCCUUCCACUUAUCAACAAACUGCAUUACCCCCUCCUCCACCACCACCUCCCCAACAAACUCCUCCCACACAGACCCCGCCCAAUCCGAGCGUCUCACAGAUCGCUGGUGGUAACCGAGGACCUACCCCUUCGUCCGUCCCCUUUCACAGUACCGGAUACUUGGGCACAGGAUGGCACUGACCACACCACUUAAUACCCGCCCCCUAAACAAACUUGCUCAGAGAGGGGCAGAGCUACAUUGUGUAACAUAGGCAACACAGCACCACUGUAAAUAUUUUCUAUGUACCUUUUCACAAAGGCUAAUGGAAACCAGUGGGUGAAAAGGGUACAUUUUAAAAAGAAAAACGAGAAAUGCAGAACUGUAUCAGUAGACUUUGUGUAAAAGAUGAUGGUUAAUGAACCCUGGUGCUCACCACUUACCUAGAAUCAUCACUCACACCUCUCUCCUUCCCAUAACCUUGUACUGCCAUCCUGUCUUUUCCAGACGUCGUUUUUUACUUUUAAUGUUUUAAUUCAUUUUAAUCGCCCUUUCCGGUCUCUUCCCGUUGAAUCCUUCCUCUAUCCUCCCAGUGCAAUGCAAUGGGACAUUCCAGUUUCCUCCUUACCUUUCCCUGUUCUUCCCGUUUCUCACAGUUUUUUCACUCAUUAGUUAUUUGUUUUAUCUAGUGGCUCAUUAUAUAGCAAAAAGGUUUUGUAUAGAGAAAAAAAAUACAGAAUUAUUAUUUUUUUUAUUCCUCCAUGUAACAAAAAUAUCUGUGCACCGCUGCAGAAAUUCAGAGGAGACCUUUCUGAUAGGCCGCUUCACUGCCCCAGGAGACUGCACUUGUGUGAAUGAGCGAGUCUGUGUGCAUUGAGUGUGUUUUUAAGCGGAAGGGAGCGUGUAUGCUUGCAUGCCGCCCGCAUCCGUGUGCAUAUUUGAAGUGCGCAUGAGAGACGGAAAGCAAAUACGGCGCAGACAGAUGUGUGCUGUUCUCUUUGGCAGCUUUAGAAAGAGAGGUCCUUCCUGUAGGGGUAAG